ACACACACACACCCUAAUAUGGCCAUAAUAAUUUUAAGCUCCUCUGCUGUAGAACUGUAGAAACCCGGUGAGUUUGCCAGCGAGUACUGCAGGGUCUGAGUGAAGUUUCUCUACUUUAAAACUUGUAUAAAAUCACAUUGUCUUUGUUUUCUUAGAAGAGAUAAUGAUACAAGACACGAUUUCAUUUGUUUUGUGGCUAUUUUGCUGAUUCCAUUUACAUCUGUGGGAUUUUCACGUACUUCACUGAAGAAGUAUGUGCCACCCUGCCCAGACCUCUAAUCCCUCCUUUUCCCCUCUACAUAAAAGAGGCAGUCAACACAUUAUACAGCUGAAUAGUAACAUUUCGCUCGCAAAUGUUAAACACUCGCAGGGCUGUAGUAGCUACCACUAUAAGCAUACUUUUCUUUUUCUCCCUCUCUGUAAACCUUGUAUGGUAGAUGUUACUCUCAUUCACUCAUGGACACAAGUUGCAGAUGAGAGAGGGGCGGUCCCUGUCUUCCCCACAAGAUUCAACCUGUGGCACAGAAUACAUCUUCCAUCAGUAUACCAUCUUAAAGGGAAGGUUAUGCUUGUAACAUUUAACUUUUUCUUAGUUUUAUUUUUCUUACCCAAAGUCACUGCUGAGGGGUGAGAGAGCUGCAUGCGGUUAGCGAGCCACAGACUGACGACGUUUGGGCCAGUUGAUACAUAAUGAUGUCCUACCUGGUGGCUGGUGUUAGAAUUUUAUUUUUAAUUUUUUUUUUAUCUUAAAUGCUUAUAUAGCUCAUUAUUUUACACAUUUAUGUGUGAUAAAUCUGGUUGAUGGUGGUUACAUGUUUAUAUAAAGUAAAACUUUUAGCAUAAACAAAUCAACGGACCAGUGGGAUUUUUCAGAAACAGGAACAUAAAGCAAAGUGGAAUUUCCCUACUUUUCUAUUAGAAAGACAGUUUCCUCUUACAGUCCACAGAGCAGCAUGAUGACUAUGAAGAUCCUGCUGGGUGUCUUGUAUCUCUCAGGUCAGUAAUUUGUUUUGUCUCCCUUUCGCGGUGCUUAUUGCUUUGAAAUACUAUUAAAAACAGCCAUCUCAGAUGUCCAAAGUGGUUCAUUAUAAUAUUUUCCUCACAGGGUGGCUCAUCCUCUCCAAAUGCCGUCAGUACCACUUUGUCAGUGAGUCUUUUAAUUGGUAUGAGGCUCAGAGUUACUGCAGAAAGAACUACACAGACCUGGCCAGCAUUGAAAACAGUGAAGAAAUGAACCAACUUAUCAAUACAGUUUCAUCUGCUGGUUACAACGCUGAGGUCUGGAUUGGUGUUUACUUUGUUAUAUCUGGGUAUUCUGCAUCUCAGGUUGAUGAUUAUUUCUGGAACUGGAAAUGAACCUUUCUUAGUUUACUAUUUUUGUGGGGGGCUUACAACAAUUGGAUGGCAGUGGUAUAACAAUUGUUCAGAGGAACACCCAUUUAUCUGUUACAAUGGAACCUCUUCAAAUCACAAAUUUAUUGUUGUGAAUGAAAGCAUGGACUGGUUCAGAGCUCUGAGGUACUGCAGGAAGAACUUCACAGACCUAACCCCAGCUUGGUUUUCUAUAAGUGAUAUGCAGACUCUGGCACCAAAGAAAGAUCAAGCAUGGAUCGGCCUUAUUGCACAUCCUAACAUUUAGUGGAGUGAUGGCAAAGGCUCCUCAUUCAGAUACUGGGAUAAUUCUAAAAAAAUGUUUGGUUUUUAUGGUUUAUUGUAUGGUGCUGCAGAUUUGAAGACAUCAGGAAAAUGGAGGCUACUGCCCAGUUACACAAAACUACCAUUCGUCUGCUUUGACAACCUGCCAGCUCCUCUACCUACAACCACAAAAGCUCCUGGAAAAUCAAAUGUUCACAAAAAAGUAAUAAAAAUAAACCUGAAGCAGGAAGACUCCUCUGUGGAUCUGAAUGAUGGAGCGGUCAAAGCAAACCUCCUGAAAAAGG